UACGUAGGGGGCAAGCGUUGUCCGGAAUCAUUGGGCGUAAAGCGCGCGUAGGCGGCUUUGCAAGUGCGGCGUGAAAGUCCUGGGCUCAACCUGGGGACGGCGCUGCGGACUGCAUGGCUGGAGUCCGGAAGAGGGUGGUGGAAUUCCGAGUGUAGAGGUGAAAUUCGUAGAUAUUCGGAGGAACACCGGUGGCGAAGGCGGCCACCUGGUCCGGCACUGACGCUGUAGCGCGAAAGCGUGGGGAGCAAACAGG
rnacentral:rRNA from 1 species